UGACAGAGUCCCUCCUAGCUCGGUACCUCCCUGAGGUCGUGAGGUCUGACUCGGACAUGGAGGGGGUCAGCAGUCCAUCUCUUCGGGGCCGAUGGGUCUCCACAACCAGGUGGACAGGGCUGAUGUCCUUUGCCCUCUUCUCAGGCUCUGUGACAUGGGGCUUGGGCUCAAAAAUAUGCAGAGGCCCAGUGAUCGGAGUCGCUGAAGCACAGGGGUAGUUUAGUUCCUGAGAGAAAGCGGCCGUAAGGCGGGGCUCAGACACAGCUGAGAUGGCCUGUUCUCUGCUGCUGUCCUCUUCCAAGUCCUCGUCCUCCUCACUGCUAUGAAUCAGCAUGGUGGCAUCAGAAAGGGACUUCUUAUGGCUGUAUCUGCCACCCUCCUGCUCUUCAGUCCCCUCCUGCUUCAUUUUGUCAGAGAAGACGCUGGACUGGGAGCCUGCUGAGAAGGUGGGCAUGGCGCGCUGCUGUGAGGGGCUCGCUGACCUCCUGCAGAGAGUGAGCCACGGGCAAGCUGUCCUCCUGGAAGGUCUGCACUGAGUGAUGGACGCGCCUGGUGAUGAGAUCCGGAUUGCUGCUGCUGAUGUAGAGGUGGCGGGACAGGUCUGGGGUGCUGUUGGCAGGUCUUGGGUAAGGAUACGGCGGGGGUGGGCGGUACACCUGGGUUCUCAUAAUGUUUGGAGCUGGGUAGUCCUGAGCCUGCAGCUGCACAUUUGUCAGUUCAGGCACACUCACGGCGCCCACCACUGGCCGCCUCUCGGCAGGGUAGGGAUACGGAGACUGGCUGUGGAAACUGUAGUUCAGGUUAAAGGGGUAGUGGGCUGACUGGGGAGAGGUGAGGUGAGGGUGCUCCCGAAUCUCGGGCUGGCUGUAGACCAAGGCGUCGGGCCGGCUGUACGCAUAGGAACUGCCAAUGUUGAGGUUCCUCAGCGAGUGGCUGUGCCGGUCUGCGUGCACCAUGCCUCUGUUGAGCUGCUUCAUCACGGUCUCGUAGUCAGGGGUCGGGCGGUAAGACGGGGGAAUGAGCGCACUGUGCCGGUGGGACGGGAUGUAGUCGGGUCUCAUGACAUCACUGCCAGUGAUACUCGGGUUGGAGGACAUGGGGGAGGGCUGCAGGUAGGGCUGAAGUGUGUUUAAGGAAUUCGUACUGUGUGCACUGUAGACGCUGCCGUUGCGGAUGCGACCACUGAGGUCAAUCUGGGUUCUAUCCAGGCUUGUCUGGGAGUGACAGUAGAAUCCAUUCUUG
rnacentral:lncRNA from 1 species